rnacentral:ncRNA from 1 species
ACGAUGCGGGGCGCCACCAGUGCGAGGAACCCGGUGCGAGUCCGGGACGGUCCCGCCACUGUGAGCGGAUCGCGCGCGAUCCGAGAGUCAGGAACUCCCUGGUGGUCGCCUGCCACG